GACGUAGGGCGCGAGCGUUGUCCGGAUUUAUUGGGCGUAAAGAGCUCGUAGGCGGCUUGUCGCGUCGACCGUGAAAACUUGGGGCUCAACCCCAAGCCUGCGGUCGAUACGGGCAGGCUAGAGUUCGGUAGGGGGAGACUGGAAUUCCUGGUGUAGCGGUGAAAUGCGCAGAUAUCAGGAGGAACACCGAUGGCGAAGGCAGGUCUCUGGGCCGAUACUGACGCUGAGGAGCGAAAGCGUGGGGAGCGAACAGG
rnacentral:rRNA from 1 species